UGGGCGCAGCCUGAUGCAGCCAUGCCGCGUGUGUGAAGAAGGCCUUCGGGUUGUAAAGCACUUUCAGUCGUGAGGAAGGUGGUGUAGUUAAUAGCUGCAUUAUUUGACGUUAGCGACAGAAGAAGCACCGGCUAACUCCGUGCCAGCAGCCGCGGUAAUACGGAGGGUGCGAGCGUUAAUCGGAAUUACUGGGCGUAAAGCGCAUGCAGGUGGUUAGUUAAGUCAGAUGUGAAAGCCCGGGGCUCAACCUCGGAACUGCAUUUGAAACUGGCUGACUAGAGUACUGUAGAGGGGGGUAGAAUUUCAGGUGUAGCGGUGAAAUGCGUAGAGAUCUGAAGGAAUACCGGUGGCGAAGGCGGCCCCCUGGACAGAUACUGACACUCAGAUGCGAAAGCGUGGGGAGCAAACAGGAUUAGAUACCCUGGUAGUCCACGCCGUAAACGAUGUCUACUUGGAGGUUGUGGCCUUGAGCCGUGGCUUUCGGAGCUAACGCGUUAAGUAGACCGCCUGGGGAGUACGGUCGCAAGAUUAAAACUCAAAUGAAUUGACGGGGGCCCGCACAAGCGGUGGAGCAUGUGGUUUAAUUCGAUGCAACGCGAAGAACCUUACCUACUCUUGACAUCCAGAGAACUUAGCAGAGAUGCUUUGGUGCCUUCGGGAACUCUGAGACAGGUGCUGCAUGGCUGUCGUCAGCUCGUGUUGUGAAAUGUUGGUUUAAGUCCCACAACGAGCGCAAUCCUUAUCCUUGUUUGCCAGAGAGUCAGGUCGGCAACUCCAGGGACGCUGCCGCUGAGAAAUGGAGGACUUGGGACGACUCAAGGCAUCAUGUUUAUA
rnacentral:rRNA from 1 species